rnacentral:rRNA from 1 species
GACAGAGGGCUCAAACGUUGUUCGGAAUCACUGGGCAUAAAGGGCGCGUAGGCGGCUCGUUAAGUCGGUUGUGAAAUCCCCCGGCUCAACCGGGGAACGGCAUCCGAUACUGGCGGGCUCGAGGACGGGAGGGGUAAGUGGAACUCCAGGUGGAACGGUGAAAUGUGUAGAUAUCUGGAGGAACACCGGUGGCGAAAGCGGCUUACUGGCCCGUAUCUGACGCUGAGGCGCGAAAGCUAGGGGAGCAAACGGG